UACGUAGGGUGCAGGCGUUAAUCGGAAUUACUGGGCGUAAAGGGCGCGUAGGCGGCCCGCUAAGUCGAACGUGAAAUCCCCGAGCUCAACUCGGGAACUGCGUCCGAUACUGGCGGGCUUGAAUCCGGGAGAGGGAUGCGGAAUUCCAGGUGUAGCGGUGAAAUGCGUAGAUAUCUGGAGGAACACCGGUGGCGAAGGCGGCAUCCUGGACCGAAACUGACGCUGAGGAGCGAAAGCGUGGGGAGCAAACAGG
rnacentral:rRNA from 1 species